UACGUAGGGGGCAAGCGUUGUCCGGAAUUAUUGGGCGUAAAGGGCGCGUAGGCGGAUGUUUAAGUCCGGUGUGAAAGAUCAGGGCUCAACCCUGAGAGUGCAUCGGAAACUGGGCAUCUUGGGGACAGGAGAGGAAAGUGGAAUUCCACGUGUAGCGGUGAAAUGCGUAGAUAUGUGGAGGAACACCAGUGGCGAAGGCGACUUUCUGGACUGUAACUGACGCUGAGGCGCGAAAGCGUGGGGAGCAAACAGG
rnacentral:rRNA from 1 species